AUCGAUCUCGCAUUAAACGCUCUCCCUCCCAAUGGAGAUCGAGUGAAGCCCUAAGCCUCUCUCCUCUUUUGCCUCGUCCUCCGACUCCCCGGAAGCUGACCUCCGCCGGCCGGCGACGGCGAUAUCGCCGCCGACCUCUUCCUCCUCCGCCAUUCGCUAGCCCUCCUCGCUUCCGCCGGCAUGAAACCCACCGACCAUCGUUCCUCCAGCAACAUCGCCGACCGGCUCCGCCUCCGACCAUCCAAGCUGACGGUCGCCUCGGAUGACCACCGACGAGUAUGUAAUCGGAGCCGUUCCAAGAUCAUAACAAGGCAAGCAGCUAAAAUGUUAGAAAGCUCCGAAAAUUCCAAAGAGUCUUUCUAUGAUUCCCUUCCUCAAUACAGGAGGUCCCGAAGACUUAAAAAUGUUAGCCGGACCAACUCCAGCAAUGACAAGAAGCUAGAUACCAAUGUGUUUGAGUCCUACUUAGAGGAUCUAUGGAGCAGGAUAUCAGAAGAGAAGAGGAGCUCCUGUACAUAUAUUGAUUGUUUAUGGUUUUCUUUGUACAAGGAUAAAAUGACAAAAGAAAAGGUGCUUAGGUGGAUUAAGAGGAAACAGAUCUUUUCAAGGAAAUACGUUUUUGUCCCCAUUGUUUUGUUGGAGACACUGGAGUCUUCUUAUUUUAUGUAACUUUGGAGAAAAAAAACAAUCAAAAACAAAAAAACCGUGCAUGUUGUUGCUUGAUUCACUUCAAAGUACGGAACCAAAGAGGUUGGAGCCACACAUAAGAAGGUUUGUGCUCGACAUUUAUAAAUCAGAGGGAAGAAAAGAGGGGGAUGAUUUUAUAUCAAAAAUUCCUCUCUUAAUUCCUAAGGUGCCACAACAGACAAAUGGUGAAGAAUGUGGCACAUUUGUACUUUAUUUUAUAUACCUCUUUCUCCAAAAUGCUCCUGAGAAUUUCAAUCAAGAGGGAUACCCUUACUUUCUAACAGAAGAGUGGUUUUGUUUGGAAGACUUGGAGAUCUUCCGUAAAGAAAUUUAUUCAGUUUGGAUGAGCAAGGGUAUUACUCAUGUUCAAUAACCAAAACAUCCUCAGUCCAAUCUCUUAUUUCUGUUUGAUUGAGAAGCAUAAAUGGCAUAUUUUGUUUUUCUCAUGAUUGCAAUGGGCCAAUCCAUGCAAUGGGGACUUCUGAAACACCGGAAAAGUUCUCAAAGUUAUAAAGGGCUCCUUUCGCACUAACCUAUGAUUCCUUCCAAACAACUGUCACCUUCUUGGUGAUGAUUACCCCGUAGGGGUAUGUAAUGAGCUCAAGUUUGUCUAUACUUUGUUUGUGCACAUAUAAAUUCAGAGAUUUUCUCAACAAAUUUGUUGGAUAAAUGUUUGCCUGAUUUUGCUGUGGAUUUGAGCCAUGUCGCAUCUUCUAUUAUAUGGUGGAACUUGAAGUUUGGCCUAUAGUAUGUAUACAAAUAUGCGCCAGCCUCCGCAUGAGAAUAUGCUGCUGUGGAUUUGGGCUUGCUGUCUUAAGACAGGUUAUCAGCUGCUGUGAUAUAAAGGCAAUCAUGGAGCAAGAGAGUUCAAGAGUUUUGGCUCUACCGGUUCUUACUCGGGAGAGGCCAGACGACUAGUCUGGGUGCCGACAGGGAGGUCGCAGGUGCACGCCAAGGAUAUUUAUCUGUUGAUGAGCCGAGAGCCAGGCCGGCAGAUAGAGGAGGGAUAGAUUUGGAGGAUAUGGAUUCAUCCGCGUGUGGUGCUCUUCAUCUGGAAGGUGGCAUAGGGCUGUCUACCGAUCAGGAACUUGUUAGCAUGGCGUGGGAUGAGGGUCACUCAGGGUUGUGAGGUGUGCAUAGAUACCGAGGAGACUAUUGGUCAUGUUCUACUGCAAUGUCCUAAAGCUAGAGAGAUUUGGAGGAGAUCAUCAGACCUAUUGCCCCACUCAGUCGAGUUGGUACAGGAUUUGAUUCAUUGGUUGAGGGUUUCCAUGCGGAAGCCUAGUACUGUUGAGGCAGGGAUUCGCUGGGCAUAUUUGGCUUAUUAUAUUUGGUUAGACAUGAAUGCUGGCUUGUUCGAGGGCAGGAGGUUACCACCGAGGAUGGUGGUGGACAGAGCGAUACGUCAUACGAGGAAGAUCACCACAGCUGCUGCGAGGUUCUCUUCUGGGAUGGCCGGGGACAUCUGGGGUACUCUUUUCGCUGUCACAGUGUUCAGGUUCGCCCUUGUUUCUUGGGUACCCUCACCCUCCGGUUAUCUCAAAAUGAACUUGAUGGUAGUAUGUCGGUGGAUGGAUUGUCCGGAGGUGUUGGUUUUGUGAUCAGAGAUCAUCUCGAGAGGAUGAUAGUAGCUGGUGGCUAUGGUACGCCUGGACUUACUGCUGUUGGGAUGGAGCUACGAGCAGCUUGGGAAGGAAUAUCCUUUGCCAGGCAGGUACUGGGUGUUGAGCGUCUAUGCCUUGAGGGGGACUCCUCUGUGGUGAUUGACUGGGUUCGAGGAUUGGACAGAAAAAAUGGUGAUGGUCAUCCUCUUAUCCAUGACACUCGUAGGUUGGCUCAGGAACUGAGCGAUUUUUAGGCUUUACAUGUUUUUCAGAAGGCAAACAAUGCAGCAGACUGGGUUGCCUCCUAUGUUGCCUGGCACUUCAGAGGAUUUUAUGGACAUCGAUAUGAGAGAUACCUCCUACUCUAUAUUCUUUUCUUUUUUCUGAUAUGGCUGAAUGUACUUACGUUAGAGCUAUAUGAAAUGUCGUUUUUACCACACAAAAA